rnacentral:rRNA from 1 species
GGCAUCGGGAUUGAAGCUUGCUUCAAUUGCCGGCGACCGGCGCACGGGUGCGUAACGCGUAUGUAACCUACCUAUAACAGGGGCAUAACACUGAGAAAUUGGUACUAAUUCCCCAUAAUAUUCGGAGAGGCAUCUCUCCGGGUUGAAAACUCCGGUGGUUAUAGAUGGACAUGCGUUGUAUUAGCUAGUUGGUGAGGUAACGGCUCACCAAGGCAACGAUACAUAGGGGGACUGAGAGGUUAACCCCCCACACUGGUACUGAGACACGGACCAGACUCCUACGGGAGGCAGCAGUGAGGAAUAUUGGUCAAUGGACGCAAGUCUGAACCAGCCAUGCCGCGUGCAGGAAGACGGCUCUAUGAGUUGUAAACUGCUUUUGUACGAGGGUAAACUCACCUACGUGUAGGUGACUGAAAGUAUCGUACGAAUAAGGAUCGGCUAACUCCGUGCCAGCAGCCGCGGUAAUACGGAGGAUUCAAGCGUUAUCCGGAUUUAUUGGGUUUAAAGGGUGCGUAGGCGGUUUGAUAAGUUAGAGGUGAAAUCCCGGGGCUUAACUCCGGAACUGCCUCUAAUACUGUUAGACUAGGGAGUAGUUGCGGUAGGCGGAAUGUAUGGUGUAGCGGUGAAAUGCUUAGAGAUCAUACAGAACACCGAUUGCGAAGGCAGCUUACCAAACUAUA